rnacentral:rRNA from 1 species
UACGUAGGGUGCGAGCGUUGUCCGGAAUUAUUGGGCGUAAAGAGCUCGUAGGCGGUUUGUUGCGUCUAUCGUGAAAACUGGAGGCUUAACUUCCAGCUUGCGGUGGAUACGGGCAGACUUGAGUUCGGUAGGGGAGACUGGAAUUCCUGGUGUAGCGGUGAAAUGCGCAGAUAUCAGGAGGAACACCGGUGGCGAAGGCGGGUCUCUGGGCCGAUACUGACGCUGAGGAGCGAAAGCGUGGGGAGCGAACAGG